rnacentral:rRNA from 1 species
GCGCACGGGUGGGUAACACGUAUCCAACCUGCCGAUGACUCGGGGAUAGCCUUUCGAAAGAAAGAUUAAUACCCGAUGGCAUAGUUCUUCCGCAUGGUAGAACUAUUAAAGAAUUUCGGUCAUCGAUGGGGAUGCGUUCCAUUAGGUUGUUGGCGGGGUAACGGCCCACCAAGCCUUCGAUGGAUAGGGGUUCUGAGAGGAAGGUCCCCCACAUUGGAACUGAGACACGGUCCAAACUCCUACGGGAGGCAGCAGUGAGGAAUAUUGGUCAAUGGACGAGAGUCUGAACCAGCCAAGUAGCGUGAAGGAUGACUGCCCUAUGGGUUGCAAACUUCUUUUAUACGGGAAUAAAGUGAGGCACGCGUGCCUUUUUGUAUGUACCGUAUGAAUAAGGAUCGGCUAACUCCGUGCCAGCAGCCGCGGUAAUACGGAGGAUCCGAGCGUUAUCCGGAUUUAUUGGGUUUAAAGGGAGCGUAGGCGGACGCUUAAGUCAGUUGUGAAAGUUUGCGGCUCAACCGUAAAAUUGCAGUUGAUACUGGGUGUCUUGAGUACAGUAGAGGCAGGCGGAAUUCGUGGUGUAGCGGUGAAAUGCUUAGAUAUCACGAAGAACUCCGAUUGCGAAGGCAGCUUGCUGGACUGUAACUGACGCUGAUGCUCGAAAGUGUGGGUAUCAAACAGGAUUAGAUACCCUGGUAGUCCACACAGUAAACGAUGAAUACUCGCUGUUUGCGAUAUACGGUAAGCGGCCAAGCGAAAGCGUUAAGUAUUCCACCUGGGGAGUAC